rnacentral:rRNA from 1 species
GACGAACGCUGGCGGCGUGCCUAAUACAUGCAAGUCGAACGCAGUGGGGACGGGUGAGUAACACGUGGGUAACCUCCCAUCAGAGGGGAUAACACUUGGAAACAGGUGCUAAACCGAUACUGAUGGAUGGUCCCGCGGUGCAUUAGCUAGUUGGUGGGGUAACGGCCUACCGAGGCUAUGAUGCAUAGCCGACCGGAGAGGGUGAUCGGCCACACUGGGACUGAGACACGGCCCAGACUCCUACGGGAGGCAGCAGUAGGGAAUCUUCGGCAAUGGACGAAAGUCUGACCGAGCAACGCCGCGUGAGUGAAGAAGGUUUUCGGAUCGUAAAGCACUGUUAUUAGAGAAGCGGUAACCGAUCAGAAAGCCACGGCUAACUACGUGCCAGCAGCCGCGGUAAUUC